UGCAUACAGCAAAGGCCUAUUAUCCA
rnacentral:piRNA from 1 species